rnacentral:tRNA from 1 species
GGUCUUAUAGUUUAUAUAAAAUUUUAAAUUGCAAGUUUAAAGAAAAUAUUUUUAAGACUU